rnacentral:rRNA from 1 species
AGUGAACGCUGGCGGCGUGCCUAAUACAUGCAAGUCGAACGGAGUGGCGCACGGGUGAGUAAUAUAUAGCUAAUCUUCCCCUUGCUGGAGGACAACAGUUAGAAAUGACUGCUAAUACUCCAUAGCAAGGGAUGAGACUAUAUCGUAUCAGCUAGUCGGUGGGGUAACGGCCUACCGAGGCUAUGACGCGUAACUGGUCUGAGAGGAUGAUCAGUCACAUUGGAACUGAGGCACGGUCCGGACUCCUACGGGAGGCAGCAGUAGGGAAUAUUGCGCAAUGGGGGAGAACCUGACGCAGCAACGGCGCGUGGAGGAUGACACUUGUCGGAGCGUGAACUCAUUUUGUUAGGGAAGCGGUACCUAACGAAUAAGCACCGGCUAACUCCGUGCCAGCCGCCGCGGUAAUUC